rnacentral:lncRNA from 1 species
AACCAAGUACUUAAAUUAAAGCGUAAACUUCAAGUACCAUUCCCGUGGUUUCACAUUUUUUCACUUUAGUACUUUAUAAUUUAAAGUGUAUUAAGUUAGUAUUCUAUGGUUUUAUUUUUAUCUUUUCGUCAGCUUUUUCGUUAAUAUUUCAUUAAAUUAUAUAGAAAAAACUUCAUAUUUUCUAUUAUUUAUUUUAAUACUCUUUAGUUUUAACUUUGUCACUGAUUUAACGAAAAAAAUUAAUAAAAUUGAUAAUAAAAAAAAAUAAAACCAUAUAUCACUAAAUUGAUAUAUUUUAAACCACAUGUUGUUAAAGUGAAAAAGUAUAAAAUUGUAUGGGUGAUAUUUGAAGUUCUUUUUAAAUUAAAAGAUGAAAUGAGAUGU